AGAACGAACGCUGGCGGCGUGGAUAAGACAUGCAAGUCGAACGCGACUUACAGCGAUAGCAAUAUCAUUGUAAGUUGAGUGGCGAAAGGGUGCGUAACACGUGGGAAUUUACCAAGAAGUGGGGAAUAGCUCGACGAAAGUCGAAUUAAUACCGCAUAUGAUCGCAAGAUCAAAGCCGGGGACCGCAAGGCCUGGCGCUUUUUGAGAAGCCCGCGGCCCAUCAGCUAGUUGCGGGGUAAAAGCCCACCAAGGCUAUGACGGGUAGCUGGUCUGAGAGGACGACCAGCCACACUGGAACUGAGACACGGUCCAGACACCUACGGGUGGCAGCAGUCGAGAAUUUUUCACAAUGGAC
rnacentral:rRNA from 1 species